rnacentral:rRNA from 1 species
CCUACGGGCUGCAGCAGUGGGGAAUAUUGCACAAUGGGCGCAAGCCUGAUGCAGCCAUGCCGCGUGUAUGAAGAAGGCCUUAGGGUUGUAAAGUACUUUCAGUUGGGAGGAAGGCGUUGAUGCUAAUAUCAUCAGCGAUUGACGUUACCAACAGAAGAAGCACCGGCUAACUCCGUGCCGGCAGCCGCGGUAAUACGGAGGGUGCAAGCGUUAAUCGGAAUUACUGGGCGUAAAGCGCACGCAGGCGGUUGAUUAAGUUAGAUGUGAAAUCCCCGGGCUUAACCUGGGAAUGGCAUCUAAGACUGGUCAGCUAGAGUCUUGUAGAGGGGGGUAGAAUUCCAGGUGUAGCGGUGAAAUGCGUAGAGGUCUGAAGGAAUACCAGUGGCGAAGGCGGCCCCCUGGACAAAGACUGACGCUCAGGUGCGAAAGCGUGGGGAGCAAACAGGAUUAGAUACCCGUGUAGUC